AACGAACGCUGGCGGCAUGCCUAACACAUGCAAGUCGAACGAGACCUUCGGGUCUAGUGGCGCACGGGUGCGUAACGCGUGGGAACCUGCCCUUAGGCUCGGAAUAACUCCCCGAAAGGGGUGCUAAUACCGGAUAAUGUCUUCGGACCAAAGAUUUAUCGCCCUUGGAUGGGCCCGCGUUGGAUUAGCUAGUUGGUAGGGUAAAAGCCUACCAAGGCGACGAUCCAUAGCUGGUCUGAGAGGAUGAUCAGCCACACUGGGACUGAGACACGGCCCAGACUCCUACGCGAGGCAGCAGUGGGGAAUAUUGGACAAUGGGCGAAAGCCUGAUCCAGCAAUGCCGCGUGAGUGAUGAAGGCCUUAGGGUUGUAAAGCUCGUUUACCCGGGAUGAUAAUGACGGUACCGGGAGAAUAAGCUCCGGCUAACUCCGUG
rnacentral:rRNA from 1 species